rnacentral:rRNA from 1 species
UACCAGCACCCCGAGUGGUCGGGACGAUUAUUGGGCCUAAAGCAUCCGUAGCCGGUUCUACAAGUCUUCCGUUAAAUCCACCUGCUUAACAGAUGGGCUGCGGAGGAUACUAUAGAGCUAGGAGGCGGGAGAGGCAAGCGGUACUCGAUGGGUAGGGGUAAAAUCCGUUGAUCCAUUGAAGACCACCAGUGGCGAAGGCGGCUUGCCAGAACGCGCUCGACGGUGAGGGAUGAAAGCUGGGGGAGCAAACCGG